UUAAUAAAAUCCAAACUACAGAGGAAUAUCACUGUUAAUGAUAUCAUUAAGAUAAUAUCUUUUAUUAAA
rnacentral:tRNA from 1 species